rnacentral:rRNA from 1 species
AUUGAACGCUGGCGGCAGGCCUAACACAUGCAAGUCGAGCGGAGCGGCGGACGGGUGGGUGAGGCCUAGGAAUCUGCCUGGUAGUGGGGGAUAACGUCCGGAAACGGGCGCUAGUACCUCAUACUAUCCGAUGAGCCUAGGUCGGAUUAGCUGGUUGGUGGGGUAAAGGCCUACCAAGGCGACGAUCCGUAACUGGUCUGAGAGGAUGAUCAGUCACACUGGAACUGAGACACGGUCCAGACUCCUACGGGAGGCAGCAGUGGGGAAUAUUGGACAAUGGGCGAAAGCCUGAUCCAGCCAUGCCGCGUGUGUGAAGAAGGUCUUCGGGUUGUAAAGCACUUUAAGUUGGGAGGCGUUACCAACAGAAUAAGCACCGGCUAACUUCGUGCCAGCAGCCGCGGUAAUUC